rnacentral:rRNA from 1 species
UUGAACGCUGGCGGCAGGCCUAACACAUGCAAGCCGAGCGGUAUUGUUGCUUCGGAUAUGAGGGAGCGGCGUACGGGUGCGUAACACGUGUGCAACCUGCCCUUUUCUGGGGGAUAGCCUUUCGAAAGGCAGAUUAAUACGUCAUAACAUAUUGAACGGCACCGUUUAAUAGUGAAAGCUCAGGCGCACAGACAUGGGCGCGCGCAAGAUUUGCUAGGUGGUGAGGUAACGGCUCACCAAGGCGAUGGACUUUAGGGGGCCUGAGAGGGUGAUCCCCCACACUGGUGCUGAGGCACAGACCAGACUCCUACGGGAGGCAGCAGUGAGGAAUAUUGGACAAUGGGUGAAGGCCUGAUCCAGCCAUCCCGCGUGAAGGAGGACUGCCCUAUGGGUUGUAAACUUCUGUUGUAUAGGGAUAUACCUACCCUCGUGAGGGUAGCUGAAGGUACUAUACGAAUAAGCACCGGCUAACUCCGUGCCAGCCGCCGCAGUAA